rnacentral:rRNA from 1 species
GAUGAACGCUGGCGGCGUGCCUAAUACAUGCAAGUCGAGCGAACGGACGAGAAGCUUGCUUUUCUGAUGUUAGCGGCGGACGGGUGAGUAACACGUGGAUAACCUACCUAUAAGACUGGGAUAACUUCGGGAAACCGGAGCUAAUACCGGAUAAUAUUUUGAACCGCAUGGUUCAAAAGUGAAAGACGGUCUUGCUGUCACUUAUAGAUGGAUCCGCGCUGCAUUAGCUAGUUGGUAAGGUAACGGCUUACCAAGGCAACGAUGCAUAGCCGACCUGAGAGGGGGAGCGGCCCACUGGGGAAUGGGAACAGGCCCAAGCCACCGGGGGGGGCGAGGAGGGGAGAUUUUCGAGAAAGGGGGAAAGCCAGGAGGGAGAAACCGCGGGGGAGAAAAGAGGGUUUGGGAACUAAAAAACCCGGUUAUGGGGAAAAAAAAGAUGUAAAAGAACCGGUACAAACUUGGGGGUAACUAAUAGAAAAACCAGGGGAAAAUUCGUG